AUUGAACGCUGGCGGCAUGCCUUACACAUGCAAGUCGAACGGUAACAGGUCUUCGGAUGCUGACGAGUGGCGAACGGGUGAGUAAUACAUCGGAACGUGCCCGAUCGUGGGGGGUAACGAAGCGAAAGCUUUGCUAAUACCGCAUACGAUCUACGGAUGACAGCAGGGGACCGCAAGGCCUUGCGCGAACGGAGCGGCCGAUGGCAGAUUAGGUAGUUGGUGGGAUAAAAGCUUACCAAGCCGACGAUCUGUAGCUGGUCUGAGAGGACGACCAGCCACACUGGGACUGAGACACGGCCCAGACUCCUACGGGAGGCAGCAGUGGGGAAUUUUGGACAAUGGGCGAAAGCCUGAUCCAGCCAUGCCGCGUGCAGGAUGAAGGCCUUCGGGUUGUAAACUGCUUUUGUACGGAACGAAAAGACUCUGGUUAAUACCUGGGGUCCAUGACGGUACCGUAAGAAUAAGCACCGGCUAACUACGUG
rnacentral:rRNA from 1 species